rnacentral:rRNA from 1 species
CUUAAUAAUUCUCUAGUGGCGCACGGGUGAGUAACACGUGAGUAACCUGCCCCCGAGAGCGGGAUAGCCCUGGGAAACUGGGAUUAAUACCGCAUAGUAUCGAAAGAUUAAAGCAGCAAUGCGCUUGGGGAUGGGCUCGCGGCCUAUUAGUUAGUUGGUGAGGUAACGGCUCACCAAGGCGAUGACGGGUAGCCGGUCUGAGAGGAUGUCCGGCCACACUGGAACUGAGACACGGUCCAGACACCUACGGGAGGCAGCAG